GUGCCAGAGCUCACUGGCACUCUACUCAGUUGUAGAGCGGGAAACGAGCCACAGUGAAGAGACUUAUGUCUGGUGGAAGAAGCUUAGAGCUGGUGGUCGGUCAGGGAACAUCUCUUCCUGCUCUUUCUGAGUACAAAUAGCCAUGACUGAUGACGCAGCGAGACGCCUGCACACCUGCAGGUUUCCACAGGAAUCAUAUCUUCUACACAAGCCAGAGUCUGUGCCUAAGUUUAUCAUCAAUUUUAUCGCGCGAUGUCUUAUCUGUCUGCCCGUAUCUCCCUCCACCAGUACUGUCAGGCUGCACACAAUAUUUCGUUACUGAAGUGCGGUGUGGACGUCCUGUGCAGGCAGGAACAGUUGAGUGAUCCACAUACAGUGAUCUUGGACCACCUGAGAGCAGCAGGCGACCAUGGCCCCGAAGUGCAAGGUGUGUAGCGACUCCUACUCUCCUGGAAGCAAGGAGCCGCUCUCCCUACAUUGCGGCCACAGCUUCUGCAGGGCGUGCCUCAUCAAGCUCAAAGAUACUGCCGGCAUGGUGAAGUGCCCGACUUGUCGCAAGACCCACGAGCAGCCGGGGAUAGACAGCCUGACCGUGAACUAUGACCUCAUGACGGCCAGCGUGACUGGGACGAGAAGUGUCUCGGGAUCGGAGAUUUCUCCGGCAGGUUUUGGACCGCCUCCAAAGGGUGCUAUAGCCAUCGUUGUGAAGGACCUUACAGACCAGCAGUUCCGUCUUCAGAUUCAGCCCACCUCGAGCGUCAAAGACCUGAAGAGCGUGUUGCAAGCGCAGUACGGCAUCGCUCCGGAGAACACCCGCCUCCUCUUUCGUGGACGUCGACUCGAUGACCUCAAGACCCUUCAGGACUAUAACAUCGUCACCGGGAAUAUAAUUCAGAUGUCUACGAAGUACGUGGGUGGCAGGGCGGAUCAGGAGACGAUAGGAGCUAUGGCUGGCCAGACUAAUGACGCUAUGGCUGGCCAAACAACAGGAGCCAUGGCUGGCCAGACUAAUUGAGCUAUGGUUGGCUACUGCUGAUAUAAUGUGAUGACUCUCGUCUACCCUCUAUUGAGACCAAACCUCUCUGCUUCGGACUAUGUUCACGUGGUGAUAUUUGUUCCUUUUUUCAUAAUUUGUAACAUUUUGUAAAAACUUUUGUAUCUUUAGUUUAUAAUCGCCAUUCCUUCACUCUGCUGAUGUUGAAUAUUAUCAUGUACUGUUGUUCCCACAGCCUCGUUUGUCAGGUCCUACCAGGUCUUCCUAUGUCAGGUCCCACCAGGUCUUCCUAUGUCAGGUCCCCACACAGCUCCAUUUAAUUAAUUACAGGAGCACAAUCUUCCUGAUGCAGUGGAGUCGCAACGGUGUUCCUUAUAGAAUAGUUAAUAUUGCAUUUUAUGAGCUGACUUCAAGAGUGUUAAUGUUUAUGAGUAAACAUUAUGAGAUGAGGCUAUAUAUAGGAAUGUUGACAAUAUUAAUACUGUUUAGAGCCUAGUGUUAACAAUGAUAUAAUGUAUAUAAGGGUUUAUAACCUAACAUAUAUGUUUCUAACGAUCAUAAUACCAGCUCCAAUUUACCGGCAUCCAGUUUAAAAGAUCCUGAGGCAACCUUAGACUAUAUUACUCCGGCAGAAACUUAAUAAUAUUCGCCACCAUGAUGAUUCUGAAGGCAGGCAACUAUAAUGAUAGUCUAUAAUGAUUACUAUCUUCUUCGUUACAUUUACAAUGAUUACUUGUAAUUCAUACUUACAAUGAUUAUAUUUAAAAGCAUAACCAAUUUGAUUUGACUAAUGACACAAUACAAUUAUAUAAUA
rnacentral:misc_RNA from 1 species